GCAUGUAGCUGCAAAAGUAACUUCUACUACCAGUCCCUUGAAUGUAGGAGGAAUGAACAAACCAGACAACUUUGAAGGACUACACAGAUUGCUAUCUAGUACAAAGCAUAUACGUAUGUGACUUCACAUCA